GUCUAAAUUCAAGAAUGAUUCCUCGGUGGUCCCAGUGGCUGUAAGGAUGCUUGCUUGGGUUCUCCCAGAGAAUGACUAAUUGAUGCCUAUUGUAUUGUGCAGCUGAUCCAUGUCCGUAUGUAAUUUAAAUGACAGGACUUCCAUUUCUAGAACCAUAUCCUGGCCCCUUGCACCUGGCUGGGAGUUGGAGGGGGCUCGCACUGAUCUCUGGGGAAGCCAUGUGUGAUUUCAAACAUAGUGGAGGAGAAAAGAGAAUAGAAGUACAAUAGAGGAAUACACAGAACAAAGCGUCACUAUACACUACUACAUCCACAAUGCAC